rnacentral:rRNA from 1 species
UACGUAGGGAGCAAGCGUUGUCCGGAAUCAUUGGGCGUAAAGCGCGCGUAGGCGGCCCCGUAAGUCCGCUGUGAAAGUCAAAGGCUCAACCUUUGAAAGCCGGUGGAUACUGUGGGGCUAGAGUACGGAAGAGGCGAGUGGAAUUCCUGGUGUAGCGGUGGAAUGCGCAGAUAUCAGGAGGAACACCAAUAGCGAAGGCAGCUCGCUGGGACGUUACUGACACUAAGGCGCGAAAGCGUGGGGAGCGAACAGG